rnacentral:rRNA from 1 species
AGAGUUUGAUCCUGGCUCAGGAUGAACGCUAGCGGCAGGCCUAACACAUGCAAGUCGAGGGGCAUCACGAGGUAGCAAUACUUUGGUGGCGACCGGCGCACGGGUGCGUAACGCGUAUGUAACCUACCUAUAACAGGGGCAUAACACUGAGAAAUUGGUACUAAUUCCCCAUAAUAUUCGGAGAGGCAUCUCUCCGGGUUGAAAACUCCGGUGGUUAUAGAUGGACAUGCGUUGUAUUAGCUAGUUGGUGAGGUAACGGCUCACCAAGGCAACGAUACAUAGGGGGACUGAGAGGUUAACCCCCCACACUGGUACUGAGACACGGACCAGACUCCUACGGGAGGCAGCAGUGAGGAAUAUUGGUCAAUGGACGCAAGUCUGAACCAGCCAUGCCGCGUGCAGGAAGACGGCUCUAUGAGUUGUAAACUGCUUUUGUACGAGGGUAAACUCACCUACGUGUAGGUGACUGAAAGUAUCGUACGAAUAAGGAUCGGCUAACUCCGUGCCAGCAGCCGCGGUAAUACGGAGGAUUCAAGCGUUAUCCGGAUUUAUUGGGUUUAAAGGGUGCGUAGGCGGUUUGAUAAGUUAGAGGUGAAAUCCCGGGGCUUAACUCCGGAACUGCCUCUAAUACUGUUAGACUAGAGAGUAGUUGCGGUAGGCGGAAUGUAUGGUGUAGCGGUGAAAUGCUUAGAGAUCAUACAGAACACCGAUUGCGAAGGCAGCUUACCAAACUAUAUCUGACGUUGAGGCACGAAAGCGUGGGGAGCAAACAGGAUUAGAUACCCUGGUAGUCCACGCA